AGAGUUUGAUCAUGGCUCAGAACGAACGCUGGCGGCAGGCUUAACACAUGCAAGUCGAACGCACCGCAAGGUGAGUGGCAGACGGGUGAGUAACGCGUGGGAACCUUCCCUUUGGUACGGAAUAACUUCGGGAAACCGAAGCUAAUACCGUAUAAGUCCUUCGGGAGAAAGAUUUAUCGCCAAAGGAUGGGCCCGCGUUGGAUUAGCUAGUUGGUAAGGUAAAGGCCUACCAAGGCUACGAUCCAUAGCUGGUCUGAGAGGAUGAUCAGCCACACUGGGACUGAGACACGGCCCAGACUCCUACGGGAGGCAGCAGUGGGGAAUAUUGGACAAUGGGGGCAACCCUGAUCCAGCCAUGCCGCGUGAGUGAAGAAGGCCUUAGGGUUGUAAAGCUCUUUUGGCGGGGACGAUAAUGACGGUACCCGCAGAAUAAGCCCCGGCUAACUUCGUGCCAGCAGCCGCGGUAAUACGAAGGGGGCUAGCGUUGUUCGGAAUCACUGGGCGUAAAGCGCACGCAGGCGGAUUGAUAAGUCAGGGGUGAAAUCCCGGAGCUCAACUUCGGAAUUGCCUUUGAUACUGUCUAUCUUCGAGUUCGGGAGAGGUUGGCGGAAUUCCUAGUGUAGAGGUGAAAUUCGUAGAUAUUAGGAAGAACACCAGUGGCGAAGGCGGCCAACUGGCCCGAUACUGACGCUCAUGUGCGAAAGCGUGGGGAGCAAACAGGAUUAGAUACCCUAGUAGUCC
rnacentral:rRNA from 1 species